UUGAACGCUGGCGGCAUGCCUUACACAUGCAAGUCGAACGGUAACAGGUUAAGCUGACGAGUGGCGAACGGGUGAGUAAUAUAUCGGAACGUGCCCAGUCGUGGGGGAUAACUACUCGAAAGAGUAGCUAAUACCGCAUACGACCUGAGGGUGAAAGCGGGGGAUCGCAAGACCUCGCGCGAUUGGAGCGGCCGAUAUCAGAUUAGGUAGUUGGUGGGGUAAAGGCCCACCAAGCUAACGAUCUGUAGCUGGUCUGAGAGGACGACCAGCCACACUGGGACUGAGACACGGCCCAGACUCCUACGGGAGGCAGCAGUGGGGAAUUUUGGACAAUGGGCGCAAGCCUGAUCCAGCCAUGCCGCGUGCGGGAAGAAGGCCUUCGGGUUGUAAACCGCUUUUGUCAGGGAAGAAAAGGUUCUGGUUAAUACCUGGGACUCAUGACGGUACCUGAAGAAUAAGCACCGGCUAACUACGUGCCAGCAGCCGCGGUAAUACGUAGGGUGCAAGCGUUAAUCGGAAUUACUGGGCGUAAAGCGUGCGCAGGCGGUUAUGCAAGACAGAGGUGAAAUCCCCGGGCUCAACCUGGGAACUGCCUUUGUGACUGCAUAGCUAGAGUACGGUAGAGGGGGAUGGAAUUCCGCGUGUAGCAGUGAAAUGCGUAGAUAUGCGGAGGAACACCGAUGGCGAAGGCAAUCCCCUGGACCUGUACUGACGCUCAUGCACGAAAGCGUGGGGAGCAAACAGGAUUAGAUACCCUGGUAGUCCACGCCCUAAACGAUGUCAACUGGUUGUUGGGAGGGUUUCUUCUCAGUAACGUAGCUAACGCGUGAAGUUGACCGCCUGGGGAGUACGGCCGCAAGGUUUGAAACUCAAAGGAAUUGACGGGGACCCGCACAAGCGGUGGAUGAUGUGGUUUAAUUCGAUGCAACGCGAAAAACCUUACCUACCCUUGACAUGUCUGGAAUCCUGAAGAGAUUUGGGAGUGCUCGAAAGAGAGCCAGAACACAGGUGCUGCAUGGCCGUCGUCAGCUCGUGUCGUGAGAUGUUGGGUUAAGUCCCGCAACGAGCGCAACCCUUGUCAUUAGUUGCUACGAAAGGGCACUCUAAUGAGACUGCCGGUGACAAACCGGAGGAAGGUGGGGAUGACGUCAGGUCAUCAUGGCCCUUAUGGGUAGGGCUACACACGUCAUACAAUGGCCGGGACAGAGGGCUGCCAACCCGCGAGGGGGAGCUAAUCCCAGAAACCCGGUCGUAGUCCGGAUCGUAGUCUGCAACUCGACUGCGUGAAGUCGGAAUCGCUAGUAAUCGCGGAUCAGCUUGCCGCGGUGAAUACGUUCCCGGGUCUUGUACACACCGCCCGUCACACCAUGGGAGUGGGGUGCACCAGAAGUAGGUAGGCUAACCCGCGAGGGAGGCCGCCUACCACGGUACGCUUCAUGACUGGGGUG
rnacentral:rRNA from 1 species